AUUGAACGCUGGCGGCAAGCCUAACACAUGCAAGUCGAGCGGAUGACGGGAGCUUGCUCCUUGAUUCAGCGGCGGACGGGUGAGUAAUGCCUAGGAAUCUGCCUGGUAGUGGGGGACAACGUUUCGAAAGGAACGCUAAUACCGCAUACGUCCUACGGGAGAAAGCAGGGGACCUUCGGGCCUUGCGCUAUCAGAUGAGCCUAGGUCGGAUUAGCUAGUAGGUGAGGUAAUGGCUCACCUAGGCGACGAUCCGUAACUGGUCUGAGAGGAUGGUCAGUCACACUGGAACUGAGACACGAUCCAGACUCCUGCGGGAGGGAGCAGUGGGGAAUAUUGGACAAUGGGCGAAAGCCUGAUCCAGCCAUGCCGCGUGUGUGAAGAAGGUCUUCGGAUUGUAAAGCACUUUAAGUUGGGAGGAAGGGCAGUAAGUUAAUACCCAGGAUGAGUGGACGUUACUCGCAGAAUAAGCACCGGCUAACUCUGUGCCAGCCGCCGCAGUAAGAC
rnacentral:rRNA from 1 species